rnacentral:ncRNA from 2 species
GUUAUGCUUUAGGGGUAUUCUAAAAAAGAAUUGAGAGAGUCCCUUUGAACCUGACACGGCUAAUACCGACGUAGGGAAAAGCAAUACAGUACAC